UUUGUGUCAUAUUGACUGUUUGAAAUCACUUGAAACUUUCUUUGAAAUCUAAGAAAAGGCAGUUCUUAAAGUUCUCCCACCAACAUUUACUCAACGAUAAACUUUGGCACUCUGACUCUGACUGCCCUGCCAAGCAGAGACUGGGCUUUGUCACAUGACUUGCUUUGCCUGCGGUGAAUC